GCUGGCGCCGCGGAGAGGGUGGGGAGGGGCGGAGAGGGCGCGCUGCGGAGCGGAGCGGGGGCCCGGCGCACGCCUGUCGUCCGCGGGCCGCGGUUCCCGAGCGUCU
rnacentral:miRNA from 1 species